rnacentral:rRNA from 1 species
AUUGAACGCUGGCGGCAUGCUUUACCCAUGCAAGUCGGACGAGUGGCGAACGGGUGAGUAAUAUAUUUGAACGUACCGAUUAAUGGGGGAUAACCAAUCGAAAGAUUGGCUAAUACCGCCUAUUAUCCGAGCGGACCAUCUUUGAUUAGCUAGUUGGUGGGUUAAAGGCCUACCAAGGCGACGCUCAGUAGCGGGUCUGAGAGGAUGUUCGACGACACGGGGACUGAGAAACGGCCCAGAUUCUUAUGGUAGGCAUCAGUGGGGAAUUUUGAGAAAUGGGCUCAAGCCUGAUGCAGCCAUUCCGCGUGUCUGAAGAAGGCCUUCGGGUUGUACAGGACUUUUGGUAGGGAAGCGGUACCUAAAGAAUACGCACCGGCUAACUACGUGCCAGCCGCCGCGGUAAUUC